GAUGAACGCUGGCGGCGUGCCUAAUACAUGCAAGUCGAGCGAACAGACGAGGAGCUUGCUCCUCUGACGUUAGCGGCGGACGGGUGAGUAACACGUGGAUAACCUACCUAUAAGACUGGGAUAACUUCGGGAAACCGGAGCUAAUACCGGAUAAUAUAUUGAACCGCAUGGUUCAAUAGUGAAAGACGGUUUUGCUGUCACUUAUAGAUGGAUCCGCGCCGCAUUAGCUAGUUGGUAAGGUAACGGCUUACCAAGGCAACGAUGCGUAGCCGACCUGAGAGGGUGAUCGGCCACACUGGAACGGAGACACGGUCCAGACUCCUACGGGAGGCAGCAGUAGGGAAUCUUCUGCAAUGGGCGAAAGCCUGACGGAGCAACGCCGCGUGAGUGAUGAAGGUCUUCGGAUCGUAAAACUCUGUUAUUAGGGAAGAACAAAUGUGUAAGUAACUAUGCACGUCUUGACGGUACCUAAUCAGAAAGCCACGGCUAACUACGUG
rnacentral:rRNA from 1 species